rnacentral:misc_RNA from 1 species
GAUGAAGAACGCAGCGAAAUGCGAUAAGUUGUGUGAAUUGCAGAAUUCAGUGAAUCAUCGAAUCUUUGAACGCACAUUGCGCCCUUUGGUAUUCCUUAGGGCAUGCCUGUUCGAGCGUCAUUUGAAACCUCAAGCUCAGCUUGGUGUUGGGUGUCUGUCCCCGCCUCCGCGGGGACUCGCCUCAAAAUCAUUGGCGGCCGGUACGUUGGCUUCGAGCGCAGCAGAAACGCGAACUCGAGGCCCGGCGGAUCGGCGACCAGAAGUCUCUUCUUCACAGUUUGACCUCGGAUCAGGUAGGGAUACCCGCUGAACUUAAGCAUAUCAAUAAGCGGAGGA